rnacentral:rRNA from 1 species
GACGAACGCUGGCGGUGUGCUUAACACAUGCAAGUCGAACGGUAAGGCCCUUUCGGGGGUACACGAGUGGCGCACGGGUGAGUAACACGUGAGUAACCUGCCCUCAUCUCUGGGAUAACAGUCGGAAACGGUUGCUAAUACUGGAUAUGAGCUUGCAAGGCAUCUUGUGGGUUGGAAAGAUUUUUUUUGGUUGGGGAUGGACUCGCGGCCUAUCAGCUUGUUGGUGAGGUAGUGGCUCACCAAGGCUUCGACGGGUAGCCGGCCUGAGAGGGCGACCGGCCACAUUGGGACUGAGAUACGGCCCAAACUCCUACGGGAGGCAGCAAUGGGGAAUAUUGCACAAUGGACGGAAGUCUGAUGCAGCAACGCCGCGUGCGGGAUGACGGCCUUCGGGUUGUAAACCGCUUUCAAUUGUGACGAAGCUUUUUUGUGACGGUAGCAGUAGAAGAAGCACCGGCUAACUACGUG